rnacentral:rRNA from 1 species
GUGUCAGCAGCCGCGGUAAUACGUAGGGGGCGAGCGUUGUUCGGAUUUACUGGGCGUAAAGCGCGCGUAGGCGGCCAGGUAAGUCGGAUGUGAAAGCCCUCGGCUCAACCGAGGUUCCGCACCCGAAACUGCCAGGCUCGAGUCUAGGAGAGGAGAGCGGAAUUCCCAGUGUAGCGGUGAAAUGCGUAGAUAUUGGGAGGAACACCGGUGGCGAAGGCGGCUCUCUGGACUAGUACUGACGCUGAGGCGCGAAAGCUAGGGGAGCGAACGGGAUUAGAUACCCCCGUAGUCC